UGCUUAACACAUGCAAGUCGAACGGAAAGGCCCUGCUUUUGUGGGGUGCUCGAGUGGCGAACGGGUGAGUAACACGUGAGUAACCUGCCCUUGACUUUGGGAUAACUUCAGGAAACUGGGGCUAAUACCGGAUAGGAGCUCCUGCUGCAUGGUGGGGGUUGGAAAGUUUCGGCGGUUGGGGAUGGACUCGCGGCUUAUCAGCUUGUUGGUGGGGUAGUGGCUUACCAAGGCUUUGACGGGUAGCCGGCCUGAGAGGGUGACCGGCCACAUUGGGACUGAGAUACGGCCCAGACUCCUACGGGAGGCAGCAGUGGGGAAUAUUGCACAAUGGGCGGAAGCCUGAUGCAGCAACGCCGCGUGCGGGAUGACGGCCUUCGGGUUGUAAACCGCUUUCGCCUGUGACGAAGCGUGAGUGACGGUAAUGGGUAAAGAAGCACCGGCUAACUACGUGCCAGCAGCCGCGGUGAUACGUAGGGUGCGAGCGUUGUCCGGAUUUAUUGGGCGUAAAGGGCUCGUAGGUGGUUGAUCGCGUCGGAAGUGUAAUCUUGGGGCUUAACCCUGAGCGUGCUUUCGAUACGGGUUGACUUGAGGAAGGUAGGGGAGAAUGGAAUUCCUGGUGGAGCGGUGGAAUGCGCAGAUAUCAGGAGGAACACCAGUGGCGAAGGCGGUUCUCUGGGCCUUUCCUGACGCUGAGGAGCGAAAGCGUGGGGAGCGAACAGGCUUAGAUACCCUGGUAGUCCACGCUGUAAACGGUGGGUACUAGGUGUGGGGUCCAUUCCACGGGUUCCGUGCCGUAGCUAACGCUUUAAGUACCCCGCCUGGGGAGUACGGCCGCAAGGCUAAAACUCAAAGGAAUUGACGGGGCCCCGCACAAGCGGCGGAGCAUGCGGAUUAAUUCGAUGCAACGCGUAGAACCUUACCUGGGUUUGACAUGGAUCGGGAGUGCUCAGAGAUGGGUGUGCCUCUUUUGGGGUCGGUUCACAGGUGGUGCAUGGCUGUCGUCAGCUCGUGUCGUGAGAUGUUGGGUUAAGUCCCGCAACGAGCGCAACCCUUGUUCACUGUUGCCAGCACGUUAUGGUGGGGACUCAGUGGAGACCGCCGGGGUCCACUCGGAGGAAGGUGGGGAUGACGUCAAGUCAUCAUGCCCCUUAUGUCCAGGGCUUCACGCAUGCUACAAUGGCUGGUACAGAGAGUGGCGAGCCUGUGAGGGUGAGCGAAUCUCGGAAAGCCGGUCUCAGUUCGGAUUGGGGUCUGCAACUCGACCUCAUGAAGUCGGAGUCGCUAGUAAUCGCAGAUCAGCAACGCUGCGGUGAAUACGUUCCCGGGGCUUGUACACACCGCCCGUCAAGUCAUGAAAGUUGGUAACACCCGAAGCCGGUGGCCUGACCGUUGUGGGGGAGCCGUCGAAGGUGGGACUGGUGAUUAGGACUAAG
rnacentral:rRNA from 1 species